rnacentral:rRNA from 1 species
UACGGAGGGUGCGAGCGUUGUCCGGAAUCAUUGGGCGUAAAGGGCGCGUAGGUGGCGGGACAAGCGUGCGGUGAAAGCCCGGGGCUCAACCCCGGGUCGGCCGUGCGAACUGCAGAGCUGGAGCACUGUAGAGGCAGGUGGAAUUCCGGGUGUAGCGGUGGAAUGCGCAGAUAUCAGGAGGAACACCUAUAGCGAAGGCAGCUCGCUGGGACGACACUGACGCUGAGACGCGAAAGCGUGGGGAGCGAACAGG